UACGUAGGGUGCGAGCGUUGUCCGGAAUUACUGGGCGUAAAGAGCUCGUAGGUGGUUUGUCGCGUUGUUCGUGAAAACUCACAGCUCAACUGUGGGCGUGCGGGCGAUACGGGCAGACUGGAGUACUGCAGGGGAGACUGGAAUUCCUGGUGUAGCGGUGGAAUGCGCAGAUAUCAGGAGGAACACCGGUGGCGAAGGCGGUUCUCUGGAACGGUACUGACGCUGAGACGCGAAAGCGUGGGGAGCAAACAGG
rnacentral:rRNA from 1 species